CAUUGUAAUCCAUUAUUCGUACUUUGGAAACUUAUAUUCAUUAAAUAAAAAAAAAAGACUGUUUUAUCAAGGAUAUUUGCAUAUUUAACAACCUUGGAAGAUAGUAAUAGAGUCUCCCUCUGGAAUAGAGGGAAGUUGUAUUUGCUAUAGUACAAUAAAGGCAAUGUAUCCUUUUCAGGGUGAAGUGACAAGUUUGAUUUAUAGCCCAUUCAUAAAGCAUUGGGAUUCUUUAGCUGUGAUGGAACCCAGUGUGUGUGUAUGUGUGUGUGUAUUUGUAUGUGUGUGUAGUGUUUAUCCAGCCUAUUCUGUUACCACUUUGGGGGUUAAGAAGAACCCAUAUAAACUUGAAUUUCACAUUGCUUGCAAUGCUGUGUGUAAUGAAGUCAUUUGUCUAUGGACUAGGAGUCUCCAUUCAAGCAUCCAAGAAUCUGUGGCAGGCUGACUUGUUACUGGGCAAGCAGGGUAAAUUCUCAGAGCUCUCACAGUUCUUGACAUACAAAGGAGGUACAAUGGGGUCAUGACAGCUGGUCUGAGGAUGAAGGCGGUCCACUCUUGACUUGGCUUUGUGUCUUUUAAUUAUGGAUGAAUGAGAGCCAGAGGCCUGUUCUGAAGCUGGAGAGAGGCAAGCUUCCCCAUGUACCGAUUGCCAUCGCUCUUAAUUACAUGACUAGCAGAGCACAGUGGUCCUCUAACUGGCCACACGGAGUUCACGAUGGGCAGUUGAUUCAUUGGGAUGAUUUUCAAUGAACCAUAACUGUAACAUAAAUGGCACAUUCCAGCAAUCUAAUGUAGUGGCUCCUACGUUUAGCUGCUCAUCAGAAUCACACAGCAACAUUAAAAUAACAACAAUAAAACAACAUAUUCCUGAGCAUCACUCGUAUAUAAUGAACUAGAGUAUCUGGAGGAGAGGCACAGAAAUUCUUUUCUUACAAAGGAUUAACAAAUUACUUAGAUGCAAUCAGUCACUGUGCUGUUCUAACGAUAAGGAUUAAAUUUUUACCACAGACAUUCCUGCUUCUCUGUACUUAAAUUUCUUCAUUUGUUAUACAAUUAAUCUAGAACUUGCUCUCUAAUAUGUUGGCAACCAGGGUAUUGGCCUAUUUAAAAUAAAACGUAUCAAAAUAGAACUAAAUUUAAAGUUAAUUUCCAUAGUUACAUUAGCCACAUUUUAAGUACUAAUAGCCACAUGUGGCUAGUGCCUGUUGGAUCUUAAAGUACAGAUGUAAAACAUUCCCGUCAUCACAAAAAGUUGUAUUGGAUAGAGCUUAUCUGAAAUACCCUACACAAGAAGUGAAGGAUGCUGUUAAAGUCUACUGGAAUUGGACUAAAAGACUGAGGAGCCAACACAAAUAAGUUUCUACUGGCCAAAGAUGGGAUAAUUUGAGCACUAAUUAGAAUAAUAACUACAAUGGAUUGAAAUACAUGAAAUAUAAUGAAGCCCCUGAAUUCAUAUUCAUCCUAACAUAAUAUUUGGAGGUGACUUUUGGCGUGUUCUGGGGGAAACAAGUCAAUAAUUGAAAACUGGAAAAUAAAGGAUUAUCAAGCAUUUUACAUUUCCUGUUCUUAAGAGAAAGGCGGAAUAGAUGUUUGAGAUAAUACUAAGGCUUAUUAGCAGGUUGUUAAUUACCUGUUGUUCUUUGCCAUGACCAGUUCAGUAACAUCUGUUUGUACUGGUUUUUCUUCUUUCAUUCUUUCACUCCUCAUAAGCUCCAUUCCUGUUCUCUGGGAGAUCCUCGAAAAGAUUACUGCAUACAAAUUUCUGUUCAGUCUCUGUUGGGGGGCAGGGAGAGUCAAGCUGGGAUAACAUUCUAGUUCACAUUCUUGAAAGCAAAUCUGACUCUAGCUGGCAUGUGCUUGAUUCAUAUUUCUGCUCUUAGUCCAAUCUCCUGUGGGGGAUUGUUCCUCAGAAAAUGUAGAUGGCAAUUCUUAAAGUAGAAGAGGUAGAAGAGAAAGAUGGCUGUGGAAGGCAAAAUUGAAUGCAAACUCGCAUUCUAACAAAAUUCCCAAGGUUAUUUGAGUGUACCUUAAAGGUAAAUCCUGCUCUAGAGGGAUUGAUAAUUAUCUGGCUCAGGAACAUUUUAGAAAGAGGUAAGAUGUUGAGUUCAAAGGUAAAUAGGAAGCAUACUGGGGGAAGGAAAGAACACACUGUUAGGUGAGGGUUUGGAAGGGGAAAAGGAGAUUGAAUGGGUAUGAAAAUACUUCAGAUUCACAAUAGAAAAAAAAAUGGAAAUAUGCCUCAUGUGGUACAGAGUAUAAAAUGUACAAUCUGCUGCAAGGUUUAAUAACAGAGUAGAGAGUGUGCAUGGUGUACCUAAAUUAAUAUAUUCUGUACCACAAACCUCAAAAAAGUGUUAUAUAAGGAAAAUAACCCCCCAAAUCAGUAGAUAAUGGCCUCCACAUCAUGGGAUUUGCAGAACAGGUUCUCAAUGAGAGACUGUGAAAUGUUGACUCCAAGCUUGUGUUGGAGACGAACUGUGUGUUUGUGAGGGAGGCAUAACAGUGUUGGCGCUCCUCCACUUCCCUGUGGUGUGUACCACUCGGGCUUCUCGGUUCCCAUCCCCAAGCUUCUUACAUUCUUCCCCUCGGUUCACAGCCCUCCCCCCUUUUCCCAUGUAAGACCUCUCAGCUACAAGCAUGAUGUACUAUAGAUAUUUAACAAAUGUUCUCCAGAAAAAAACUAUAAAGCUUUGAUUUGCAGUGUUUGCCAAUUUCCAUUGUAUGGAUACUCCCACCUCAGCUCUUGGGAAGCUGCCAGCAAGGCAUUUCUGAACACAGGGUUGGGAGGGUGGUACAAGCUGGCUCCAGGACACCACAGGAAAUAAGUGAAGAAAGAGCGAGAAAGACGACAAAGGUGUGAAGGAUGCUGCAGAGCAGUUUACAGCCUUUGCAGAGCAAGGGGUGGGAAUCAAGUUAGUGAAGACCAGAGUGCUUCCUUUGACUCCAGGUAGUUUGAUUCAGAAACCCAACUACUGACCCCUUCAAGUCACACAGGGCUUUUUGGUGGGCUUGGCUUGUUCCCUUGGAUGUAGGAAACAGAUUUGGUCAUCUUGCCCAAUUUUUGGCAUAUCUUAGCUUCAGUGUUAUUUAGAACUUCCUUAAACUGUGGCUUUAAGAAUCAGUAAUUCAGCUGGAGAAAAUGUUUUAGGACAUCAAGAGUGAACUUAUGUCCCAUAUUUAUUGAAAUUUCUUCCAUAAACGUUUCCUAGGCUCUGAAAUGCACACAGCCACCCUUCAUUGACACACCUAGCCUCUUCUCCCUUGCCUGAGUGCAGUGCCAAUAACUCUCAUCCAGCUUUCCUAGGAAUUACAUAUCCUGACUCUCUUUCCACAGUUCCAGCCCUCACCUGGUUUCCUGGGACAUCAUCCAAAACCUAGAUACCGGUCUUUCCUAUGGGAUCUCCAGCUGGCAGAAAACUCCAUUCCUUGGGGAUAUUAGCAGAUAAGAGAUAUUUAACUUCCCAUAGGUACUGCCAUAGGAAGCUUAGGACUAUUCCUCUGCAUGGUUUUUGGCACCCAUUUUGGCUCUCUAAAGGUAAAAUCCGUAGCUCUGUCCCCUGGGCACCUCCCAAGCUGUAUACAACUGAUUUCUGUUUGCUGCAGCACUGGCUCAGCUAAGGCACCUUAUUUUUGUCCUUACCAACAAAGGAUACACCUGAAUUUCCCAUGACUGCUCUGGUGGCUCACCUUUUGCUUUUUCUUGGAAAGCAUCCAGUAUUAGGCAUUCAGUUCACUACAAACAGCGCAUAUUCACGCUUCUGAACCUGAUGGAAAAGGACUUUUUUUGUAACCUUCCCUUUGGUGUCUAAUCUGAUUCAUGGUGACUUGCAGGAAAGAAACGCUCCUACUUACAGUUUCAAAGUGUUCAUUUUUGUAGUCUUUGUAUGUUUGAAAUAUAACAGCUUAUUUAGUCCUCUCCUCAGAUGAAUGUACCUUCAUCUGUGGAUUUAUGACUGAGUUUUUAUUUCUUUGUGCUAGACACAGAGGUCGUGGAGGUUCCCUUAUCUCCAACUGUUAGAGCUGGAGUCUGUAGAUUACUUUCCUUCCAGCCACCCAAAGCUUCUAUUAGUUAAGUUUGUUCUUUUUAAAUCGCAUUUUCUCUCCCUAUCUUUUCUCCUCUGAGCAUGUAAACAUAUCAUCACCCUUCCUUAUAAAAGAUGGGUCAGUUGACAUGAUUUAGAACAUUGUACAUGCUUACAGAAGCACUCUAGUGGCUCAGCUGACUCACCAUGGCUUUUGUGUCUUCCCAGGUUAGGGAAGGCAGUGGAACUAGGUUUCAGUGGGUCCUUCCUGCCAAGUGAGAGCCUUACUCCGCCCAGGAGCCUUCCAUUCAGAGUGGAGGCCAAAGGUUUCCGGACUAAAUAUGCCUUUAAUUGAAGCCCAAGUGGAAAUUCCAGCUCCUGCUAUUGGGCCCGAGAGGCUAACCAAGAUGGAGUGUCUUUGACCUUAUCAUCUUUCUCUCAAACUUCAGUGAACUUGUAUCCAAUUUGUCCUCUAAUUCUCCACAGAGAGUUUCAUUCUGUGAAGCCUCUGGUGAGUUUGGAAGGCUGCCAAUCUGGGCACAAAAAUGAGAGUGCCUGCAGGGAGAGAUUCUUCCCAAAUUCUUGGUUGUCAGAAAGAUGAAUAUCAGCAAAUGGCUCUGAAAGAAAAGAUGAAAGGGAUCAACAUUGUAAGCAGUUGGGAGAUUAGACUGUCCAAGCCACUGAGCUCAAGAUGCGACUGGAGCCAGAGCAGAGCAAAUCCUGUGCUGGAAUUGGUAGCAUUACGAGCAAGCGUUCAGGGGAUUUAUCAGAGAAAGCCAAGUUGAAUGGGCACUAAUGAGUUGAUGACUCAAGUAGAGGAACGAGCAAGAUCAUAGCAACCAAAGUCAUUCUAGGAGGUAGGAUGUUAUGUAACCGUCAUAUCCCUUAGCGACAGACACUGGACUGUAGGAUGAGAUUGGCUGACCCCUCUCCAAUGAACAUACUGCAUGAAAUAAAAUAUGGACUGUGAAUAUGCUCACAAGGAUUCUUAGCAUGUGCCCUCAAACAUGUUAGCUCUCUCUGUCUUUUAUUAAGGCCGUUCCCUUGGACGAGGGACUAAACUACAUGGAGGCAGAUCUUAAACAUGCACAGGGUCCUUGAAUCUAGUAUAUUGUAGGUACUUGGGAAAUACUUUGUUGGUUACAACCUAAUAGGGCUUAUCCCCUGUCGCAGGGGUCUGCAGCAAUGGCUUUUAAAAUGACCAGUGAUAUUUUACCAAUGUUAAGAGUGUCCCAGGGUGGUGUGUAGUACUAGGUCCCCAUGCUGGAACAGUUUCAUCCACUGAUUCCAAAAUGAAUACAUGUUGGGUGUUCCCUUUGCCCUAGAAGGGGUAAGACAUAGCCCAGGGCAUUAUUAGAAGUGGUGAAAUCAGGCUGAGAGUGUCUGAUAUGGGCAUAACAUAGGAAAUCAGGCAAGUAGCCGCCGUUCCCUCAUGCUCCUCACUUCCAAAAAUAUCUUUCUCACACAGUCUCUAUUGUUUUGCCCAGCACAGUUCGGUCUUAGUUUGCCUUAUAAGGUGGUUUCAGGGUUUCAGGCUCUUGCCAUAGGAAAUUUUUCCUGCUGUUCUGCCUGAGUUGCCUUCUGCUUCAUUUUAGUUCAUUAUGUCUGUAAAGACCGGGAGGGUUGUUGGGGCAAAAGGCCCAAUCAUCGUGGGAAGAAUGAAUCAUUUUAAGAACUGUAGAUGGGCUGGAAGGCAAAGGCAGCUACGGGGCAGGAAGUUGGGGGUGGAUGGGUUAUUGAGAACAGCAUCAAAACAGUCUGUCUUCCCUCUCUGUGACUCCCACUAGGGGGUGCCCAGAAUCCCAGAAUAGUAACUAAUAUCAGGAAGCUGAGGUUUCAUGGGGCAUUUCUUGAUAAAAGGACACUGGCUGACCCAUGUUUCCUGUAAUCUUGUAUCCUUGCCCUGAGUAGCUUGGGCAUGUGUGUGUUCAAAUUAGCAAGUGCACAAAUGCCUCUCAAGAAUUUGAGAAUUCUCAAAUCCAUGAAAACUCAAAUCUUCUAGGACUGACUGAUUUUCAGUUCAGUAACUAGAAACACUAUGGGCCAGAAAGUACCCCUGGGCCUAGGAGUGGUGGCAGCAUACUGUUUUAUCCCUGGGGAUAAGGAGUGAGCACAGCUGAGGGAUUGAUCAGCGAAGUCCAAAGGUGAGGUGAGACCUUGAAGUAGGGUGGAAGACAGGUGUGGGAAUAAGGUCAGGGAGAGGGGAGAGAUCCCAGCACAACCAGGUUUCAGAAUGAACACAGCAAAGUUUUCAGCUAUGAGUGGUUUUGUGGAAAGAGCUUGGAACUUGGAUCCUGACAGCCAGGAGUUCAAAUUUUAUUUCGAGCACUCAAUAAUCAGGUGACCUUGGGAACUUGGGCAAGUUAUUCAGCGGGUUUGAUCCUCAGUUCCUCCAUCUUCAAAAUGGGAGUCUUGAGAGUAAGGUUAAUUGAGAAUUUAAGAAAAGUAUAUGAAGCACUAACUAAAUCUAUCAUUCUCCUUUUCUCUGUCUCCUAACUGGAGAUGGCUGAAGGCAAAGAAAGGUGUUCCUGCUGCUGUGGUUCAGAGGAUCUCCCUUAACCCUGAGAGUUUUCUGCACUGAAGGAUUUUGGGGUAUGUGCAGGGCAUGCCUGGAGAGUCCUGGUGGCCUAGCCCUCCUUACUUCAUAGGUCUUUGGGCCAUAAUUUAGAGUCUGGCUAGCCACUGGAGUGGCCUUCAGUCUCAGGGACUCUUGCCCAAGGUCCCACAGAGUGCCAAAGCCUGGCCUUGGUUCCAGGUGCAGUGCUGAGCUGUAUUACCAGUUCAACCAUGCUGAUAUAACAGUGACUUCAUUCCUUACAGCAGUUUUCCUCAGUAUAUGUGACAUAGACCACCUGUACCAGCAUCUGCAGGUGGACUUGAUAAAAAAUACAAAUUCCUGGCCCCUGCCAGACUCUAACAUUUCAAAGCAAUGAUUUUCAAAUUUACAGUCCCGGGUUACACUUGGACAUGGAAUGGAAUGGUUUAAUCUACCAGACUGCCCUUUUGUGAGGGAAGGAAGGGGCUCAUGCAUAGACCUUGAAAAUUAUCCUCUACAGGUGUUCCUGACCCUACUAUUUCUAGAGCCACCUUUAGUUUAACUAAUCACAAUCUUUUGCUAGAACAUUCUAAAUGUUUCCAGGAACCAGGGCUGUGAAGGUCACAGGAUGCCCUUUUCUGGAAGCAUCUGAUGAGUUAGUGUGGGAGGGCCAGCACUGUGGCAUAGCAGAUAAAGCUGCUGCCUACAGUGUCAGCAUCCCAUAUGGGCGCCGGUUUGCAUCCUGGCUGCUCCACUUCCAAUCCAGCUCUCUCUUAUGGCCUGGGAAAGCCAUAAGACCUUGGGCCCCUGCACCUGCAUGGGAAGACCCAGAGGAAGCUCCUGGCUUCGAAUCGGCGAAGCUCCAGCUGUUGUGGCCAAUUAAGAAGACCUCUCCUUCUCUAUUUGUGUAAUUCAAAUAAAUAAAUAAAACUUAAAAAAGAGAGAUAGUGUGUUUGGGAAAGAUCAGCUAGAGUGAUUCCUGAGCCACAGUGCUAAUCCAAGGCAGCUGCCCCUCUCUGCCAGCCUCCAGUGGUGGUGGAUCUACAGCCUUGGGCAGAGUCCGUUGAAACUGAUGAGAGGAAGCUUUCGUCCUUCCUUUUGGGAGCCAGGGGAUACCAGGAGAAAGGCUAGUCAUCAAUUGUGACUUCCUGUGUCUUGGCUGGUACAGUUGCUGCUGUGUUAGUAUGUUUACACUGAGGGCUGGGCCAAAAGUUGCCCCUUACUCUAUGAACUCUGACAUCCUGGACUUGAGAGAAAGACUCAGGCAAUAUGAAUAGGCCCCACAACGUUCUUCCCGACACGACAAGGGCUGUUUGAGCUGGCUUUUCAGGAGGCUCUUAUAAUGAUAGAUCACAAUCUAGAGAGAAAACUGCAGAGAACUGAUGGGGCAGCAAGCAUAGCAUUUAUGUGUGUGUGUGUGUGUGUGUGUGUGUGUAAGAUUUAUUUUUUUAUUUGAAAGGUAGAGCUAUAGAGAGAAAGGAGAGAGACAGAAAGAUCUUACAUCUGCUGGUUCACUCUUGAAAUAGCCAGAAUGGCCAGGGCUGGGCCGGGCCCAAAUCAGGAACUUCUUCUAAUUCUCCAAUAUGGGUGGCAGAGCCAAAGAACUUGGGCCAUCUUCAGUUGCUUUUUCCAGACCAUUAGCAGGGAGCUGGGUCAGAAGUGGUGCAGCUGGGACUUGAACUGGCACUCUGAUAUGUGGUGCAGCAUUGCAAGCAUCAGCUUAACUCUUUGUGCCACAACAACGGCCCCUCAGCAUUUGAUUUUAAUUGGCUCCUGCAGCUCUCAGGGAAAGAGGGUCCUCCUUGGCUUCUGAGGGUCUCUGCACUGCAGAACUGUAGUGAGCAUGCAGGGCAUGCUAGGGGCUGCAGAAAGAUCUCACAAUGAGGAUUUGUGUCAGCUUCAAAAGGCCCAAAAUAAACCUAAAAAUGCUCCUAGGUAGCCAGUUAUUGCUAUUUAAAAUCCCUGUUGGAACAAAGUGGGAAAUAAAUACCAGCAAAAUAUGACCAAGCAGGCCAUUGCUGCAUAGUAUAUGUCACAGUUCUGUGUAGCUGACGGGCCUGCUGGCCCAUUCCUGGAGAUGGGGGCCGCAAGGCCAUGUAGGUCCAGAGCUGCCCUUAGCCUCCUGCCUGCAAGGUGGCCUGCCUCCCUGAAGGGGGUGCUGGUGGGAAAGAGCCUCCCUUGAUAAACCAUCGUUCUUGUUCCUCCCAAUCAAUUCUUUGCCUUUCUGUUUUCUGGGAAUAAGAGGAUUCAUCCGACUCAACUGGAGAUGGCUCCCUUCCCUAAUUUAUUGUUCCAUUUCUGAGGCUGCCCCCUAACCGGGCUCAGUUUAAGCAAACAGGGGUGUGGGAAUAGGCAACACUGCCAAGACCGAAGUCCACAGCCACAGAGCUACCCCUCCACCUGCCGGAAGCAGAGACACACCCCAACCUCUUUCUUGUCAUUCACCCAGUUUUGCUGAACCUGGAAAGGAAAUAAAUUCCAAAGGCAGGAAAUGACCCAGAGACUAUAACAAUAUGUGAAAAACUAAGCCAGUGCUUCCGCCACUUUGUUUCAAACUCCUCUAAUCAGAGUCCCAGGAAGCCUAACCCAUGGCCAGAUGGAGCUCUGUUUUCAGACGCCUCUUGGCAUCUGCCACUCCCGGCUGGUGACAUUUGCACGUUUCAGUUGGCAAACCUGUCCCAGCAUCCUCAAACUUCCGGAGAGGUAUAGCCCCAGGAAAGUCCUCGGCUCUCCUGCUGACAGCAUCAGCCAUCUGAUCUGCCUCAUCUGUAGCAGAGCUGCUGCUGGACGCCAGCCUAGAACACUAUCAUGCCGAUCUGUUCUCGAAGUUUUGCAGCAUCUGAAAUCAAAAUGCCCAGUGUUGCCAGAAAAGGCUGGCUCCUUUGCCUGCUUCAUAAUCCCUCUCACCAGGCUUUCGGAAAGAAACCCGAUGAGUCAGGAAGGCAGAAACCUUGUCUAGGGGAGGUGUGGGGGUGGGCUGGUCUCUCAUUGCUUGUGAAAAUUCCCUCCUGUUUUGCAAUGCAAGGAACAUUUAGGAAUCUGGUUCGGCUUCUUUUGUUUUGUCGUCCCCUGUCAGCUCUCAGUUGGAGAGACCCUUAAUUUACCACUCCUGAAAUUAGCUCAACAAAAGCAAAGAAGCACAAAAACUUCACUUGUAUCCCCAGGAACAGAUAAAGAGAAGACCUCCACCCCUAUUCCCAGAAGGAACCAUCACUCGACUGCUUUGUUCUGGCCUAGGGACUUGCCUUUUCCUGGGCUUUUAAUUUUUACUGAACACCA